AGGCAUCAUAAAAACAUUGAUAAAUAAACAAAUAGAUAAUUCUCCAGUAUAGAUCUUGUGCAUCUUAUACUCGGAGACGCUGGAAGGGUACUUGGAACUCCAACUGCAGGUCAAAUGAAGUCUAUCCAUCGAUACAUUUGUAUCGGAGGAACGUUUGUUAUUUUCUCCAUUGCUUUAAAGAAACUUUCGACGUCGAGGUUGCCAGAAAUAAAGGUGGACGAAUUAAAGAAAUUAAAGGCCAUGGAUCCUGAGCGGCCUGUGAGUAAUUGAAAAAUUGAAUAUUUAGAACACGGAUUUAUUGCAUUCGUGCUACAAGUCUGGUAUUAAAAGACCUGUGGAUAUGUUCUAUGAGUCCGUUGGACUCUGGAUGAUACGAGGUUGUGUUCUUGCUUGUAAUUUCAAGUAUCCUGCAAACACCCAACCAUAAUGAACUUGUGAACUGUGUUCCUCGGUCAGACACAAUAGUUUGUGGAACUCCAAACCUCGAAAUCCAACCACUCAAAAAAUUAUUGACUAUUGUCUUGGAGGUUAUAUCUGGAAUAGGUAUCACUUCUAGCCACCUUGUGAAACGAUCCAUAAUAGUUAGGCCAUAGCGCUGUCCCUGAACUAGUGGUUAUGGACCGAUUAUGUCUACGUGAGUAAAGGAAAGUCUUUCAGAUGGAGGAUCGAAAGACGAAGUUGGUUUUGAUGGCCUGAAAGGUUUAGUUUUCUGACACGCUAAACACUUUCUAGUGAAGUUUCUGACGUCUGGCAUAAAGCAUAAAAAAGGGAAAUCCUCCUUAACUUUUCUUUGAAUCCCGGAUGCACGAUUCUUUGACGCAAUUCUGGAGAUGAGACAGCUACACGGAAUGCGUCAGCAUUGCCAAAACCAACAAGUAGGGUUCCUGCAAUGUAUUUUAAAAAAGGUUUAAUUUUAAACUUAAGUAAAUUUGGAUCUUGUUUCUUUUGAAACUCAAUUAUAUCUUCAAUGAAGGUUGGGCCUAUUGUGAUGUAAUUAUACUUCUAGAAAGAAUGCCUGCAGUAUGAUUUAAUUUUCCAGAAACGUGUUCGAUAUCACAACUGAAUUCUCUAUGAAUGCAAAAGUAUGUAACUGUCUUGGUGUCUGAGAGGGAUUGCGAAUGUCAAUUGCAGUGACUAAAGGUCUGUGAAAACUUUAACAACUUGUCAUCCAAUGCCCAUAGAAAAUGUUUGAUGCUUUCCUUAACACUUAAUAAUUCCCCAUCAAACGUAAAAUAUUUCUGUUGUGUCGUUGAAAGAGCCAGAGACCAAAAAGCUAGAGGUUGCUAGAGUCCAUUUACCCUUUUGCUCGAGAACAGCUCCCAUCCCUGUAUCAGAUACAUCAGUCGUCAGGGCUAAAGGCAAUGAACCAUCUCUAAAUGCAAGUUGAAUACUUUUAGAUAAACUAUUUUUAAUACCUUGAAAGGAGGUACAAAUGAACUAAGAGUAAUAAUGUGCCAUGCCCAAAAAUCUAUUCAGUUCAUCUUUUGAUUUUGGAGUUGGUACUUUUUGGAUUGCCUUUACCUUACAUUCUAGAGGCCUAAAACCUUUCGAUGAAAUAGAAUGUCC
rnacentral:lncRNA from 1 species